rnacentral:rRNA from 1 species
UACGGGGGGUGCGAGCGUUGUCCGGAAUCACUGGGCGUAAAGGGCGCGUAGGUGGCCUGAUAAGGGUGUGGUGAAAGUCCGGGGCUCAACCCCGGAUCUGCCGUGCCGACUGUUAGGCUAGAGUACUGUAGGGGCAGGCGGAAUUCCGGGUGUAGCGGUGGAAUGCGUAGAGAUCCGGAGGAAGACCGGUGGCGAAGGCGGCCUGCUGGGCAGUUACUGACGCUGAGGAGCGAAAGCGUGGGGAGCGAACAGG